rnacentral:rRNA from 2 species
GGUGAUUGUAGCGAAGAGGGCACACCCGUUCCCAUCCCGAACACGGAAGUUAAGCUCUUCAGCUCCAAUGAUACUGCGUGGGCAACUGCGUGGGAAAAUAGGACAUCGCCG